AACGCACCUUGCGCUCCCUGGUAUUCCGGGGAGCACGCCUGUUCGAGUGUCGUGAAUACCUCAAGCCGGAUGCUUUAUUGCUAUCUUAGGCUUGGACUUGGACCUUGCCGCAAGCCUUCAGUGGUGACGGCUGGUCCUAAAUACAUUAGCUGACCCAUGUUUUGUACACUUGGUUCUACUCGGCGUGAUAAGUUCAUGACCGUCGAGGACAUCCGCGCCCACAAAGCGAGGGUGGCCGAGAGUGCCUUGGAUCGCUUCUAAUCGUCUUCACCGACAACAUUUUUCAACUUUGACCUCGAAUCAGGCGGGACUACCCGCUGAACUUAA
rnacentral:rRNA from 1 species